rnacentral:tRNA from 1 species
GAGGAUCCAGCCGAUGUGGUGGCGGCACCCGUCUUGAAAACGGACUGCCCGAAAGGGCGUGCGAGUUCGACUCUCGCAUCCUCC